rnacentral:rRNA from 1 species
AGCGAACGCUGGCGGCAGGCCUAACACAUGCAAGUCGAACGGAUCCUUCGGGAUUAGUGGCGGACGGGUGAGUAACACGUGGGAACGUGCCCUUUGGUUCGGAACAACUCAGGGAAACUUGAGCUAAUACCGGAUGUGCCCUUGGGGGAAAGAUUUAUCGCCAUUGGAGCGGCCCGCGUCUGAUUAGCUAGUUGGUGGGGUAAAGGCCCACCAAGGCGACGAUCAGUAGCUGGUCUGAGAGGAUGAUCAGCCACAUUGGGACUGAGACACGGCCCAAAACUCCUACGGGAGGCAGCAGUGGGGAAUCUUGCGCAAUGGGCGAAAGCCUGACGCAGCCAUGCCGCGUGAAUGAUGAAGGUCUUAGGAUUGUAAAAUUCUUUCACCGGGGACGAUAAUGACGGUACCCGGAGAAGAAGCCCCGGCUAACUUCGUG